rnacentral:lncRNA from 1 species
GCCGAGGCCGAGGUGGAGAUCCACAACACUUGAUGAUCAUGAUUUUCUUAAUUCAUUUGAACAAGUGCAAAACAUUUCAUUUGAACAUUUUAACACGGUUCAAAAUUUCAUGUAACUUAAAGGGGCAAUGGAUCGAAUCACCAUGGAACGAAUCACCACUACUGAAGACCACAAUCUAUAAUUUGUAACUUAACUGGAUUAGGAAGCAUAU